rnacentral:lncRNA from 1 species
ACAAGCAGGCACCAAGCUACAAGUGAGCAACUUUCCCACUAAUCCUCCAAGGCGUGUGACAAUAUGACCCUGAGCUUUUACAACUAAGAACAGUAUGGUAUGUAAAUAUUAUGAACAUAUAUGGUAAGUGCUCUACUUGCUCAAAAACAUGCAAAAUGAUUCUCGAGAAUGUCUAGCUGACCCUAAAGCCACACAGAUUAUUCUUUUUUUGUCUGCAGCAUUCAUCUCUGUAUAAAACCAUGAUAUAAGUUCACUGGAGCACGAAUUGUGUCUUGUUUACUUUAUUUCUCAAUUAAGCAUGUUUUAUUUUUUAUACAAAUAAUAAAAAUGAGAAAUAAUAAAAAUAUUGUUUUGUAUUUGCCACUACAUUCUUUCCAGAGAGAAAUAAUCACUUGCUGAACUGAGAACAUUUUAACGGCUAGCUGGAAAUCAGCAUGUCACUAGCUGUGACACAUUAAAUGACUCCAGGAAACGUGACUCUCUCUGCAAACAAACACUUAAAAAUCUUAAGAAAAUCUGUUUUUAUUUCUUUGAAAACAUUGUGGCAUCUAUUAAAGACAUUAACCUAGGGGAAAAAAAAAAAAGAAGAAAAAAAAAAAGAAAAAAAAAGAAUAUUGUUUUAAGACUGAAAUUUCACAAUAGAACAGAAUGCAGCCUUUUUUAUAAUGAAUAUAUAAUCUGUAUACUCCACUAAAAACUUAGCAGUGGCACUAAAACAAUGUGCAAAACUGAGGUUUAUUUAUACACAAGCAACUAAGAUAAAGCAGAUGAGGGAAAAAUGCAAUGGAGACUUACUGAUUUUGCAAUGGAAAUAAAAAGUUAUGAAUAACCUUUCAAUAGCACUCCUAAGUGCUUCAAGAGCUAUGUAGUGCCGACACAUUUAAUAACUAAUAUACUUUUAUGUGUUGUGGCUCAUGAUACUUUCUGCCUUUGAAAGUUUCCAUCUUUUACCAUGUAUAAGUAUCUGCAGAUUCUUUCUGUUCUCAGUGUGUAUUUUCUUGAUUUGCAAUUCAGCUUUCAUUAUUGAUAGGGACUUGGAACCUGCAACCCACAGAGAAGUCCCAAGAGUGCACAUUUAUCCAUGGAAUUAUACCAAGAAUAAAUUAGACCAUGGACCUCAGAGGCACCACUCACAAGGAAUAUGUUUGCAUAUCAAGUACAUUUUUCACAUCCUUGCUCAAGCUCUGGAAAAGGCUCAUAAUAGAAAGGGAACUUGCAGAUUCUUCUGUGCAAGCAUCAGGUAAUGGAAGAAUAUGAUGCAAUUAUUCAGGUGAGCUAUUAACUGAAAUGUAAGAUUAUUAACUGAGGUAACAUUAUUCCCUGCAGUGUCACUGAACACACUAUUCUUGCAUUCUUCCAGCAUGACACAAUGCUUAUGAUUGAUAGUGACUGUUAGGUCCAGACCAGGAACAACAGCAUCCUGCUCUAAAAUCCUUCCUCUGCCUAAUGAUCCUUGCUUUUUUAUUAAUGUUCUGUUAAUUCCUGGUAAACCUGCUAUUCUUCUAAGGGCCUUAAAAAAAAACACUUUCUUCAUCAUGCCAUUAUUUGAUCAUCACUUAGUUCUUACAAAAAUAUCUGAACUGAUCUUAAGAAAAAAAAAAAAAGAUGGGAAAAGAAGAAUAAUAAAAUAGGAAAGACUAAUGAAAUGGAAGAACA